rnacentral:lncRNA from 1 species
GUGAUUUCUUGCUGGUUUUUGAUCGAUUUUUGGACUAAUAUCACUCCUCCUAGCUCUGAUACCAGUUUGUUGGGGAUCCUAGGAGUUAAAACAACCAAAACAACAAUCAACAAACAAGAUUCAAGGCAAAAAUCAAGAAAAACGGGAAUGGAAAAAUACAACCCUUUUUAGCCGAAAAUCUGUCCAGUUUUUCUGCUUCGUUUCAGCAGCUCCUUCUUCGAUUUAUAGGUGUUUUUUUCAGGCUCAGGAACAGCCCCAUGCUAUGCCAAUUGCCUUCCAAAGAGAGAGGGGAAAAAACCAAUGAAGAACCACCACCCUUCUAUGAAAAACGAGAGCUCCUACUGCUGGGUCUUACAAAGACUGAGAGCUGCCCUCCCUUUAUUUGAAAAUGGUAGAGUGUACAUAAUGAAGGGGUAGGAAGAAAGACCAUGCCUCUGCCAAAGGAAGGGAAGACCUUAUUGUGUCAACCUCACUCCCAUCAACUCACAACAUUAGGUGGUGGGGUUAGGUGAACCAUAUCUUCACAGUAACCCUCCCUGUUAAGCAAAAAUCUGCAAGAACCACUGCAGCAACUGCUUGAUGAUUGCAGGCGGGUUCUCCUCCUUCCCCUUAGAAUCUACGAUGUUGGUUAUGGGUUCUACCAAAAUUCCUUGGCCCUCUUUGCAUAAUGCCUUCACCAUGGCCCUUAGUUAUACCCUUGCCUUGUUAAGUCCCGGAUCCCCUUUCAAGAUAAACACCUUAUCUCCCAUUCGAAACCUCAUGGUGAGAAGUUUCCAAUUCACUUCCAUACUGUCCAAACUACACAGCCAAUGCAUGCCUAAUGCCAUAUCUAUAGCACCCAGCCCUAGCGGCAAGAAGUCCUCCACUAUUGUCAACCCUUGCAUUUCUAGAAUCACUCAUCUGCGGAUACCUUUCCCUUUUACAGACUUUCCUGACUCUAUGACUACUCCAUAAUUCGUAGUAGCUGUUAUUGGAAGGUCCAGUUGCUUGACUAACUCCAGUGAGAUGAAGUUAUGUGUGGCACCACAAUCAAUCAGGAUAGUUACCUCCUUUCGCUUCACGGGCCCCUUACCUUCAUCGGCCCUAGGUUCGUUAACCCCACCACAAAGUUCAGUGAUAACUCAACCUUCUCUGCUACUUCUAUCGGGUCCUCAUCCUCUGACGAACCUCCUUCCUUGCUGUCUAUCCCCUCUCAUUCCUAGAUUAACAGCACUCUUAACUCUCGUUUUUUGCACUGAUGACCAGCCGUAUACUUCUCAUCGCAACGAAAACAUAGCCCCUUUUCCCUGCAUUGUUGCCACUCGGUGCCCGACAUCUUCCUGGUGGUGUAUUUCCAGCGUAGGUCGGCCAAUUUCUCGCCUACCAUUACUGUUCGUGUUGGGAACGCUUCUAGCUUCAUCUCCAACCACCGAUUUGGGGCAGCAGUCUCUUUGGUAUGCUUUUGGGCCGGUAUGGCUUUCAA